rnacentral:rRNA from 1 species
AAACAUAACCUUUAGCCAAACAAAUAUUAAAGGCAACGCCUGCCCAGUGAAUAAUUAAACGGCCGCGGUACCCUAACCGUGCAAAGGUAGCAUAAUCAUUUGUCUACUAAUUAUAGACCUGCAUGAAAGGCAAAAUGAGGGUCAAACUGUCUCUUAUAGUAAAUCAAUUAAACUGAUCUCCCAGUAAAAAAGCUGGGAUUCCCCCAUAAGACCAGAAGACCCUGUGAAGCUUAAACUAAACUAUUAAACCAAAUAAUAACUACUUUCGGUUGGGGCGACCUUGGAAAAAAAAAGAACUUCCAAACACAUGACUUUACCUCUAACUAAACUCAGGCCCACAAGCCAUCAUAAUACGACCCAGCAAAGCUGAUAAACGAACCAAGUUACUCCAGGGAUAACAGCGCAAUCUUCUUCAAGAGCCCAUAUCAAAAAGAAGGUUUACGACCUCGAUGUUGGAUCAGGACAUCCUAAUGGCGCAGCCACUAUUAAGGGUUCGUUUGUUCAACGAUUAACAGUCCCACGUGAUCU